AGAAUCAACGCUGGCGGCGUGCCUAACACAUGCAAGUCGAUCGAGAAAGUGGAGCAAUCCAUGAGUAAAGAGGCGCACGGGUGAGUAACACGUGACUAACCUACCCUCGAGUGGGGAAUAACCUGGGGAAACCCGGGCUAAUACCGCAUAAUACCCACGGGUCAAAGGAGCAAUUCGCUUGAGGAGGGGUCGCGGCAGAUUAGUUAGUUGGCGGGGUAAUGGCCCACCAAGACGAUGAUCUGUA
rnacentral:rRNA from 1 species